rnacentral:rRNA from 1 species
GACGAACGCUGGCGGCGUGCCUAAUACAUGCAAGUAGAACGCACAGUUUAUACCGUAGCUUGCUACACCAUAGACUGUGAGUUGCGAACGGGUGAGUAACGCGUAGGUAACCUGCCUGGUAGCGGGGGAUAACUAUUGGAAACGAUAGCUAAUACCGCAUAAUAUUAAUUAUUGCAUGAUAAUUAAUUGAAAGGUGCAAUUGCACCACUACCAGAUGGACCUGCGUUGUAUUAGCUAGUAGGUGAGGUAACGGCUCACCUAGGCGACGAUACAUAGCCGACCUGAGAGGGUGAUCGGCCACACUGGGACUGAGACACGGCCCAGACUCCUACGGGAGGCAGCAGUAGGGAAUCUUCGGCAAUGGACGAAAGUCUGACCGAGCAACGCCGCGUGAGUGAAGAAGGUUUUCGGAUCGUAAAGCUCUGUUGUAAGAGAAGAACGGGUGUGAGAGUGGAAAGUUCACACUGUGACGGUAUCUUACCAGAAAGGGGCGGCUAACUACGU